AUAAGACAUAUGCUUGGCUUCUAGCAAGAUCAAUAGAAGAUGAUAAGGGAAAUCCUUAUUUGCCGGAUGAGAAAACAAGAGAGGUGAAAGAAUCCAUUGAUAAUUGGAGAAAGCAACAAGCUGAUGGAAAAUUUGUUCCUAAUAGGCAUGAUGAUAUCUUAUCUCGUGCCCUUGGGAAAAAAGAUCGUAAUGGUCGGGCAAUAGCAUUUGGCAGUGGAAUUGGCAGUAAAGCUGUAUGGGGAUCCGGAGAGAGGCGUAGUGGCCGACGGGGUAAGGAAUUCGGAGAUGCUUAGCUGGAAGAAUUAGAGGCAAGAUUAGCCCGGAGGGUACGAGAGGAGACUAUGCAAGAGAUGGAUUCUCAAAUGGAUUCCAUGGUUCAAUAGAAGUUUAUGUUAUUUGCUAAACAGAUUGGUAUUCAAAUUCCAACUGAAUUGAUGGAAAUGAAUAACAUAGGCCGGACGACUCAACAAAAUCUUAGUAGUUUCCAAUCAGUGGGUGAUGAUCCAUUUGCAAACAUACAGGUAUCCAAAACUUUGUUAUUUUAUAUUUUUUAUCUUUUUUUUUGUAAUGAUUUAUGACUGCGACAUACUUUUAACUUUGUAACUUUGUUUUCUUUUUUUUAAUAAUGAUUUUUUCCUAUCUUUGUAAGGAACCGAUUCCAUGUCGGCUAUCAUGGUUGAAAAAUGACUCUCAGAAAGUCAUUGUCGCUGAAGGUACAUAUCAUUCGGAGUUUAUCCUUGAUCAUCAUAGUAACCUCCUUCCAAAUCACGUGAGGGUAAGUGUUGAUGAUUUUUUUGACGAGUUCAAAGAAUUCUCGGUUCCAGUUCCUUCUUCAGUCAUCAAGAAACUUAAGCAUGCUUACGGUACAUUUAGCCAAUGGCCGAAAGACUUGGUUUCACUCAUGCAUGACAAGGAAUUCAUAUCAAAUAAGAAC